CAGGCCUUGACAUGCAGAGAACUUUCCAGAGAUGGAUUGGUGCCUUCGGGAACUCUGACACAGGUGCUGCAUGGCUGUCGUCAGCCCGUGUCGUGAGAUGUUGGGUUAAGUCCCGUAACGAGCGCAACCCUUGUCCUUAGUUACCAGCACGUUAUGGUGGGCACUCUAAGGAGACUGCCGGUGACAAACCGGAGGAAGGUGGGGAUGACGUCAAGUCAUCAUGGCCCUUACGGCCAGGGCUACACACGUGCUACAAUGGUCGGUACAAAGGGUUGCCAAGCCGCGAGGUGGAGCUAAUCCCAUAAAACCGAUCGUAGUCCGGAUCGCAGUCUGCAACUCGACUGCGUGAAGUCGGAAUCGCUAGUAAUCGUGAAUCAGAAUGUCACGGUGAAUA
rnacentral:rRNA from 1 species